UGGAAUUCAUUGAUGGUCGAGAAGACCGAUUGGCAAGAAAUUGAGCUUGGCCUGUGUGUAGUUGGAAUUCCGGGGAAACCUUGAAAAGGGAUAUCUUUGUUGGUUGGAGGACAGGAGUUGUAGAUGGGUGCGUGGACGUACUGGGAUGAGUACGAGGACAGUUAAGGAACCCUUUUCCAUGGAGUAACAUGCGUUGAGACGCCAUCUUGUCUUGGAAGGUCCGCAUGGUGGAAAGGUAUUUUACUAUGUCCAAACUAGAACGUGUCACUAAAA